GCCAAGUGACCGAGUGUUGUUAUUGACUGGCUGGUGCUGGGGACUGGCCGGAACGGACAGUUCUGAAACCGAGUGGGAGCCGUGAUGGGGCAGCAGCUCAGGAGGUGCGGACCAAGGACUGCAAGCCCCAUGAGGAAAGAGGGGCCUGGAUGAAAUUCAGCCCCUAAAACAGCCGGUAGAUGUUCACAGAGUCGGUAGAUGAAAUCCUGGCGUUAUUUUUAGGAGUGAUUACCCAUUUCAUCCCCUGGGUGUCAACAAUGAUAAGUCAUAUUUUUCUGUUCCAUAGUAUGUUCCAGGCACCAUUCCAAGUGCUUUUCCUAGGACGACAGAGCACUGGACACCGCUGCCUAGGUGCCCGGCUCCACACAGCGCCCUCCGAAGCUACUGACCUGUGUUUGUUUAAAGACAGUUCUGUAAAAUGGGCGGAUGAGACAGAGAAAGGAAACGUGGCUCCGCUCCACCCUCGCAGUGACCCACUCUGAGCGUUUCUUUUGGUAACGUUGCUCGUUUUCUCUGCUCAUCGCACUGCAGGUCUGUCGUGAACAGAGUCCUUUCCGAUGUGACGAGCGUUAUUUCCCGCUAGGACAUGUUCCGGAACACCGUUCUCACGGUGGUGGGAAAUUCCAUCGUGCAUAAACACCACCCCUUAUUUAAUCCAUAUUUUAUUUGGGGGUUUCCUAGACUGUUUCCUAGAGUUCUGCUCUUUCAAACGUUCCAGCAGCGAACGCAUAUCCUUCCCUUGUUUUCUGUGGCUGUGCCUAUUUGUAAGACAACCUAGAAUGCUUGGGUCCAAACAAGAACACAACUUUGAGGCCUUCCUCUACAUUUGCCAAGUCAGUGUCCAGAAAACGUGACAUUAAUUUACAUUAAUUAAGGUAAACAUUGAUUUAAUUACUGUUCACAUGAAUCCCAAGGGCUCCUGGGAGCAAUGCUACAGGUGACCACCACUAGCCCAGGCAUCAUCCCCGACACGAGAGCCACGGCCAGCUGCUCCAGUGACAAACACCGUUACUGUCUUUCCGUCUGCGGCCCGUGACCUCACGUCCGUUACGAUUUCUGUGUUCACAUCUGGCCUGAUGUUUAGCUAAGCAACCAGGUACCAUGGCCCAGCCAAGUGGAGGCAAACAGCAAACUGACGCAGGAGACAUAAUUGGCAUAUGAUUAACGAUACAUAUUUGAAGUGGGACAUCUGACGGUUUGAUGUCUGCAUGUGCCCCUGAAAACAUCACCGAGGAAUCUUAGGAUCAGUUUGUCAACUUACACGAAGAAGACUGCUGGGUUUUUAGCUGCGAUCCCACGUAACGCGGAGAUCGGCUGGAGACAAUUCACAUCCCAUAAGUUUCGUGUCUUCUGCCCCACGGACUCUGCACGCCUCUCCCCCUAUGACUUAUUUCUCUGAGCAACAUUUCAUAGUUUCCAGGGUACGUGUCUUCCUCAUAUUUAUCGUAUCUCUGGCUCUAUUUUGUAAGGCAAUUCGGGUAUUAUUUUAAACGCUUUUAUUUGAGGUCUGAUGAUCUGCUCCAGUGGUGUGAACCCCACACGGUUUUUAUGUGGAUCUCGUAUUCCGCGCCCUUGGUGAACCCAGUUUUACA